GGCCGGGUCCCGUACAAUAGAGACUUUUGUGAACCCCGCCAGGUCCGGAAGGAAGCAACGGUAGCAAGGGAACUAUGUGAUAUGGGGUGCCUGGCCACU
rnacentral:SRP_RNA from 1 species